GGUUAAGCGACUAAGCGUACACGGUGGAUGCCCUGGCAGUCAGAGGCGAUGAAGGACGUGCUAAUCUGCGAAAAGCGCCGGCGAGGUGAUAUGAACCUUUGACCCGGCGAUGUCCGAAUGGGGAAACCCAGUGUGUUCCGACACACUAUCGUUAACUGAAUACAUAGGUUAACGAGGCGAACCGGGGGAACUGAAACAUCUAAGUACCCCGAGGAAAAGAAAUCAACCGAGAUUCCCCCAGUAGCGGCGAGCGAACGGGGAGCAGCCCAGAGUCUGAAUCAGCUUGUGUGUUAGUGGAAGCGUCUGGAAAGUCGCACGGUACAGGGUGACAGUCCCGUACACGAAAGCACACAGGUUGUGAACUCGAAGAGUAGGGCGGGACACGUGGUAUCCUGUCUGAAUAUGGGGGGACCAUCCUCCAAGGCUAAAUACUCCUGACUGACCGAUAGUGAACCAGUACCGUGAGGGAAAGGCGAAAAGAACCCCGGCGAGGGGAGUGAAAAAGAACCUGAAACCGUGUACGUACAAGCAGUGGGAGCACCUUCGUGGUGUGACUGCGUACCUUUUGUAUAAUGGGUCAGCGACUUAUAUUCUGUAGCAAGGUUAACCGUAUAGGGGAGCCGAAGGGAAACCGAGUCUUAACUGGGCGUUAAGUUGCAGGGUAUAGACCCGAAACCCGGUGAUCUAGCCAUGGGCAGGUUGAAGGUUGGGUAACACUAACUGGAGGACCGAACCGACUAAUGUUGAAAAAUUAGCGGAUGACUUGUGGCUGGGGGUGAAAGGCCAAUCAAACCGGGAGAUAGCUGGUUCUCCCCGAAAGCUAUUUAGGUAGCGCCUCGUGAACUCAUCUUCGGGGGUAGAGCACUGUUUCGGCUAGGGGGCCAUCCCGGCUUACCAACCCGAUGCAAACUACGAAUACCGAAGAAUGUUAUCACGGGAGACACACGGCGGGUGCUAACGUCCGUCGUGAAGAGGGAAACAACCCAGACCGCCAGCUAAGGUCCCAAAGUCAUGGUUAAGUGGGAAACGAUGUGGGAAGGCACAGACAGCCAGGAUGUUGGCUUAGAAGCAGCCAUCAUUUAAAGAAAGCGUAAUAGCUCACUGGUCGAGUCGGCCUGCGCGGAAGAUGUAACGGGGCUAAACCAUGCACCGAAGCUGCGGCAGCGACGCUUAUGCGUUGUUGGGUAGGGGAGCGUUCUGUAAGCCGUUGAAGGUGGCCUGUGAGGGUUGCUGGAGGUAUCAGAAGUGCGAAUGCUGACAUAAGUAACGAUAAAGCGGGUGAAAAGCCCGCUCGCCGGAAGACCAAGGGUUCCUGUCCAACGUUAAUCGGGGCAGGGUGAGUCGACCCCUAAGGCGAGGCCGAAAGGCGUAGUCGAUGGGAAACAGGUUAAUAUUCCUGUACUUGGUGUUACUGCGAAGGGGGGACGGAGAAGGCUAUGUUAGCCGGGCGACGGUUGUCCCGGUUUAAGCAUGUAGGCGGAACGAUUAGGUAAAUCCGGUCGUUUAUUAACGCUGAGGUGUGAUGACGAGGCACUACGGUGCUGAAGUAACAAAUGCCCUGCUUCCAGGAAAAGCCUCUAAGCAUCAGGUAACAUCAAAUCGUACCCCAAACCGACACAGGUGGUCAGGUAGAGAAUACCAAGGCGCUUGAGAGAACUCGGGUGAAGGAACUAGGCAAAAUGGUGCCGUAACUUCGGGAGAAGGCACGCUGAUAUGUAGGUGAAGCCCCUGCGGGUGGAGCUGAAAUCAGUCGAAGAUACCAGCUGGCUGCAACUGUUUAUUAAAAACACAGCACUGUGCAAACACGAAAGUGGACGUAUACGGUGUGACGCCUGCCCGGUGCCGGAAGGUUAAUUGAUGGGGUUAGCGGCAACGCGAAGCUCUUGAUCGAAGCCCCGGUAAACGGCGGCCGUAACUAUAACGGUCCUAAGGUAGCGAAAUUCCUUGUCGGGUAAGUUCCGACCUGCACGAAUGGCGUAAUGAUGGCCAGGCUGUCUCCACCCGAGACUCAGUGAAAUUGAACUCGCUGUGAAGAUGCAGUGUACCCGCGGCAAGACGGAAAGACCCCGUGAACCUUUACUAUAGCUUGACACUGAACACUGGUCCUUGAUGUGUAGGAUAGGUGGGAGGCUUUGAAGCGUGGACGCCAGUCUGCGUGGAGCCGUCCUUGAAAUACCACCCUUUAAUGGCUGGUGUUCUAACGUAGACCCGUAAUCCGGGUUGCGGACAGUGUCUGGUGGGUAGUUUGACUGGGGCGGUCUCCUCCCAAAGAGUAACGGAGGAGCACGAAGGUUAGCUAAUCCUGGUCGGACAUCAGGAGGUUAGUGCAAUGGCAUAAGCUAGCUUGACUGCGAGAGUGACGGCUCGAGCAGGUGCGAAAGCAGGUCAUAGUGAUCCGGUGGUUCUGAAUGGAAGGGCCAUCGCUCAACGGAUAAAAGGUACUCCGGGGAUAACAGGCUGAUACCGCCCAAGAGUUCAUAUCGACGGCGGUGUUUGGCACCUCGAUGUCGGCUCAUCACAUCCUGGGGCUGAAGUAGGUCCCAAGGGUAUGGCUGUUCGCCAUUUAAAGUGGUACGCGAGCUGGGUUUAGAACGUCGUGAGACAGUUCGGUCCCUAUCUGCCGUGGGCGCUGGAGAAUUGAGGGGGGCUGCUCCUAGUACGAGAGGACCGGAGUGGACGCAUCACUGGUGUUCGGGUUGUCAUGCCAAUGGCACUGCCCGGUAGCUAAAUGCGGAAAAGAUAAGUGCUGAAAGCAUCUAAGCACGAAACUUGCCCCGAGAUGAGUUCUCCCUGAGACUUUAAGUCUCCUGAAGGAACGUUGAAGACGACGACGUUGAUAGGUCGGGUGUGUAAGCGCAGCGAUGCGUUGAGCUAACCGAUACUAAUGAACCGUGAGGCUUAACCUU
rnacentral:rRNA from 1 species